rnacentral:rRNA from 1 species
AUUGAACGCUGGCGGCAGGCUUAACACAUGCAAGUCGAGCGGGGUGAUGGUGCUUGCACUAUCACUUAGCGGCGGACGGGUGAGUAAUGCUUAGGAAUCUGCCUAUUAGUGGGGGACAACAUCUCGAAAGGGAUGCUAAUACCGCAUACGUCCUACGAGAGAAAGCAGGGGAUCACUUGUGACGUUGCGCUAAUAGAUGAGCCUAAGUCGGAUUAGCUAGUUGGUGGGGUAAAGGCCUACCAAGGCGACGAUCUGUAGCGGGUCUGAGAGGAUGAUCCGCCACACUGGGACUGAGACACGGCCCAGACUCCUACGGGAGGCAGCAGUGGGGAAUAUUGGACAAUGGGGGGAACCCUGAUCCAGCCAUGCCGCGUGUGUGAAGAAGGCCUUAUGGUUGUAAAGCACUUUAAGCGAGGAGGAGGCCCUUUUGGUUAAUACCCAAGAUGAGUGGACGUUACUCGCAGAAUAAGCACCGGCUAACUCUGUGCCAGCCGCCGCAGUAA